rnacentral:lncRNA from 1 species
GCGGUGAGAGGUCGAGAUGCCAGAGAGAGAACCAGGGGAACUCAGAAUACUUCCUUAAGGGAAAGUAGCCAUUAGAGAAAGCGGAGAAGGAGCAUGCAGAGGAAACGGAAGUAGGAACGAUGAGUUUUCUAGAAACCAUGGUGAGCCGUUUUAUGAAAAGGCACGUCUGCAAAAAUGCUCGGAGAGAUUUGUACAGAUAAGAGUUUGGUGGUAAACCAGUCACUAGAAUGACAGCUUGUCAUUACCACGGUCUCGCUGCUGCCUGACGAGGACUAGCUGCCGUCUGGGCAAGAUCACAUUCCACCC